AUAUAUGUAUUUGUCUGGGUGAACUCAAAGCAUCAAAUGUUCUGAUCUAGAUAAUGAUACACAUUUAAUGUGCAUAAAUUCAUAGAAUCCUAGAAUGGCCUGGGUUGAAAAGGACCACAAUGAUCGAGUUUCAACCCCUCUGCUAUGGGCAGGGUCACCAACCACUAGACCAGGCGGCCUAGAGCCACAUCCAACCUGUGAUGGAGCAGCUUCCCAUCCCUUACUUUUUGCUUUAUAAUGAAGAACACAAGUAGCAUGAAGAUCACAUCUUUGUUUUAAUGCAGUCUGUGAUAUAGAAAUGUACGAAUCACUCUAUGAAGUCAAAGCUGUUGUCCACAUACUUUAUUAAUUUCCCAAUUAAUAAACAAGUUUGAGAUAUUCCCAAACUUGGGUUCUUUGCUCUGAUUAACUACAAAAGGAAAGUAGUAUUUCUUCUUCAUUUAAAGACAGAGUCCUCUUCCUGAAGCUUUGUUUUUUCCAUGUUAGGCUCUGAGUAACUCUUCUAUGAUUUUUGUCUCUUCCAGCUGUUUUCUUUAUUUGGGGUGUCUGUUUUCAAUGAUGCUGAACUGCUGCAGGGUUUCUGAGGGGAUUUAACUCUUGGGAUUAAUUUAUUUGUCUGUGACAGGGUAGAGGAGCAACGAUGUAGAAAGGAGGAAAGAUUGUUUGCUGACAUAGCUUUAAGUAGUGGAGUGAAAAAAUUUCUUAAGGACUUGGAAAAAGAAAAACUGACAGACUGAUGCUGCAGGAGAGGUGAGGAUGCAAUCCAGGGUCAGAGUGCUGGAGGUCAGCCAGGAAACUGAAGGUCUCACACUCAUUCUGCCUGGGGAGAAGGUGAUAUGGUCAUAUGAAGAGUCAAGUCCCAGUUUUAGGUCUUGUCUUUGGAAACUGGCAGCAGCCACUUGUCACUCCAGGGCUGCAUCCAUUGUAGGAUAGGGCUGCCCAGACGGAGAAGGGUAGAUGGCAGUACUGUGGUCUUGCCGAAGUGGUGGUCUUUGCAGAUUUUACAGGGUUGGUAUAGUUUAAGCUAUAAAUGGAAAUGAACUGUUACGCUAGAAGUGAAACUUAAUUCAUUCACUAAGUUGCUGAGUUUCCAGCAGUGCUAUGGAAAGCAAUAUUUUGUCCUGGAGAACAGCUGUGAACUCCAAAAGCACAGGACACUGCCUGCAGACUGCCCACAGCUGGGAAGUGCUAUAGAACCACUUCAGAACUCUUUGAGGUGAUUUAUGGGAGAAAGCGUGACUUAGGAACAUAAGACCUUAGCUGAGCUGUAUGACUAUGGCUCACAUCCUGUGUAUAAAAGGUCAUUCUGUAUGUUAUGGAAAGAUAGCAAUGCAAGUAUUGAUGAGACUUUAGCAGCGUUGAAGAGAGAAGUGAUCUGGCAUUCAUCUUUUAAAGUGAGAUGAGGAUGUAAAGCGCGCUGCCAUCUCCUGGGGGUCUUCUGUUGCUCUUGCCAUGGGCAUUGCGGCCUUAAACCUCCACUUAGUCUUUACCCUCCUUGCUGCCUCCCGUGCGGGGCUGGCCGCGGGCGCUGGAGGGCAGUGCUGGACGUCGGAAAGAUGGGCUGCUGGCUGAGCUGCCAGCGCUCUAGCGGAACAGGCAAAUGCAGCCCUGCGUGCACGUCUUACAUGUCUCACUCUUAAUUUUUCAUGAUAAAUCCUAUUUUCUGCCUCCCAUUUUUCUUCAGUAAUAAUAUAGAAAUAAUACAAUACCCAUUUCUGUACUCUCGCGUACUUCAUCUUUAAUUUUUUCUAGCUGCCUGAUAGAUGCCGGAAAGAGCCAACCUACAACCUAUUAUAUUCCAUUCACAGUGCAGCUGGUUGCAGGAAGCUGCAUAUUAUGAUUUUUUCUCAGGGGAAACAUGAUUUUUUUGCCUUAUGCUGAUAUCUUUUCAUGAAAUCAAAGUAACUUGACGCUUAAGGCUGCUCCUUGAGUAUGUGAAGUAUUGACCAAUGGGACAGAGUAAGUGUCCUCUAUAAAGGAAAUUCUUGAUCACUGAAAGUCCAUUCUAAAAAAAGCAAAUGUUUAUUGCAUGUUGCUCUUGACACGAACCUCUUUGUUGCCUUAGGGCAGGGGAAUGGUAAAAAAAAAAAAAGCCCAUAAGACUCUUUUGUAGCACCCAGCUUUUUUAUUCUGUGGCUCUGAGGAGGCUCAAAUUCCUCAGAAAGCAUCUUGCUAUUUAUCUUCUUCUUGCCAGAUUAGUUAAGUGGCUUGUCUGUUGUUUUCAUCACUGCAUUUUCUCAGUGACUUUUGUUCGUGUCACUGGGAAAUGAUCUUUUUUCUCUUAGCUACUCUUAAUGCUCCCUUUCUCCGGAGUUCCCCAGGGAAGCAGAUUCCCCAAGCCCUUAUUCAGACAAGAAAGUGAUUACUGAGGGACUUCAUUUGUAUUUGUAAAGAUGGCUCAGGUUGCUAAGAAUCGCUGUGAUUAAGCAUCUCUGCUGGGACUCCUUACACUGUGAUAAAUAACAUGCCUCGCUCCUUUCAGUUUAUAAAUGCAGUUAUCAACGUGUAAAAAUGGUGCUGUGGAAGAAGUGCAUUUCCAUGUUUCAUUUUCUGAUGGAAAAGGUAAACAUUACUUGUUUAUAGGGUGUUAAACCACAAAAACCAAUUGUGAAUGUUUUCUUCGGCUUAGCCUCAGUGAUACCCACCAGCCAUAGGAACCAGAUAAUAUUUCCACUUCAUACAUGGAGAACUGAGGCACAGUGAAGUUUAAAAAAAAAAGUCAUGGAAGGCACCCAAGAAGCACAUGACAGAAGCUGGAAGGCAAUCAAGUAUGCUGAGAACCAGUCAUCUGCUUUAUGGACAAUGGUUCUCCUCUAAACUGGAAGGAUUUUCUUUUAUUAGCAAUGAAGGUCAAGCAAAACAAGAGGUAUUUAAGCUCUUAGCCCCAACUAGCUGAGAAAGAAUGCAAAAUCCUGCACUUCCUGAAAUGUAGAUGUCAAAUCUUUUAGAAUUUUACUAAAAAAAAAUCUUGAUGUAAUAAAAAGUGAAGAUAAGGAAAUACUACUAUGAAACUACUUUUAACUGGUAACAAACCCCUUUAAAGAGUGUGUAAGCUCUAUAAUGCUAACCUGAAAAGACCUGGAAGGAAUGUAACUCAGUUUUUAUGAGAAGUACUUUAGCCCUAUGAUUACAGACUCUUGUUAUUCUUUUUUUCUCCAUGUGUGUUGUGGUCCCAAAGCUACAAUGUACACUGGAAGGGAAAGGAUCCUAUUUACAGGACAGGUGUCCUGAACUACAUGCUUAUAAGCAGUCGUUGAAUAAAGCUCUUGAUCUUGGCUGUCAUGCUUCUCCUUUGAAUCUACAAACCAGAGAAUGUGCCUUAUGUUGAGACUGUUUUUGCAAAACGUCAGAACUCCCACUUUGGGCAUCAAAAACCAGACUUGUCUGUUGGACUGAAAAUAUAAAUUUUUUCCAUUAUAUGCUUGUGGUCUGACCUUGUGCCAGUAGAUCACAGCAAGGGUUGUUUCAUCCACAGCGUGUCCCAGUUUUCCUGUCCUUUUCAUGUGACUUGAGGGUAGAGUAUUCCUGAGGGCUGCUAGCCCAUGUUCCUUGUAGCCAUGCGGGGAACAUUCAGGAGGCUGACAUUACUGAUGUCAUCCAUCAUGCACGCUAGAUUUGUAUGCAUGGUAGCUUGAACCAGGCUACUCUACUUAUUUGUCUGCACAAAGAAGUCAUGUAAAGUCAGGUGCUUGUUCAGAGUGCACCUUGAUACCUGUGCUGCUGCAGGAAUGAAAAGUCAGUUUCCAGUAAAGUUUCUAUUUGUCUGGAUGUGAAUAUUCUGGUGUUGACAACCUGACUGGAAGAUUCUGCAGAGUUUUUUUUCAUGGUUUGGCCUUAAAUGGUGAAAGAAUGAGAUUCAUACAGAAGGAAAUGCUUAUUUUAAGAUAAGAAAUGCUUGUUUGCUCUUGUACUGUGAGUGAGUGUUGGUUUUUCCUGUGUCAGUCCUGGUGAUUUUCAAAGGCAACUGGCUAACAACCAUGACCAUAAAGAACACAUGAUGUCUGUGCCCUGAGAAAAAGCUAAGAAAGCUGAGAUGUUUCCUUCUCAUUACUGGGAUUAAAGUUGAUUACUUAUUAUAUUUGGGGCUUUUAGCCCUUUCCUGUAACAGAGAGGAGGGAAGAGUUCUGCUACUCUAGGAAGCUACAAGAUUAUGGAUAAAUGUGUAUUUAAUUUCUGAAGGCAAGAGGAUGUCAUUUCUAAAACUGUUUGCUUGUGUGGCAGGACUUAUUUGUGCUGUUAUGGCCUACAUACAACACUGCCAAAACUGAAGAAAUGUUUUCAAAUAGACUCAGUUUGCAACAUAGCUGAUUGUCUGGCUGUGCUGUGGCCAACCGGAAGUGUUCUGAUUAACACCAGCAUGCCUUGGACAGGAAGGGGAGAAUAGGGCUGCUGUGUAGUGUUCCAUCCUGGAAAUACAAGCUGAUAUUUGUGAGUUACUGACUGAAAAGGUUUGUGAUACUUUCCAAGUCAAACUGACCUAGCGUCCAAUUAGAGUUACUUCUGUGGUUACAUGAGUUUGCUACCAAUUAAUUGUUUUUUUAAUUGUAGAAAGCAGGGCUAUUCUGGUCAUUUUAGGAGUAAGUUAUUCUUUACAAUUCUGGUAUUGUUCUCUAUAAGCCUUUAUUUUUCCAAUUACAUUUUAAUUGGAAAAUUUAUACUUAACAGUGAUUUUUAGAAGUUUUGUUUGGAUGUUGAGUAAAAGUUGCAUCUUGUUUUCCAAGUGAUUAGACCAUAUCCAUCUCUAAUUAAGAAAAAUCUCCUUCAUAUAUGAAAGUGCUGCUCUGACAAUAGUGUUUCCCAUUUUAUUUUGUUGGCCCACAACUUCAGAGGUGGAUGUUGGUGGUAUGGCAGUGGAGGUUGAGCCUUUCAGCUAGUAUUCCAUUACAUUUUGUUGCCAUGCAACAGAUGGCAGCACUGGGGCAGUCUGACAAAAUGGCAUCAGACAUGGAAGUGUGUAUGAAGUAAAAGUGUGUCACUGAAUUACACCACGUGGAAAAAAUGGCAUCCAUUGACAUCAGCAAUGUUUUCUGAACAGUGAUGGAGACCAGACAGUGGAUGUGAGUUCAGUGAAGUGGUAGGUGGUGUGUUUCAAUGAUGGUGACAGUGUAUCACCUACACUGGUAUGAAUCUUUAUGAGCAUGGUAUCCAGGUUUUGUUUAUGGCUGACAAAAAUACACAAUUCAUGGUGGUGGCUCUGAAACGGUGUUUUGUAGCUGAGAAUUUCCUUUGUUAAUUGGUGUUAUGGUACUCUUUGUAUCUGUUGCAGUUUCCAUGGAAAGAAAUAGGAGGCAUUACUUUCAAAGUGAUCUGUAUGUUUAUAUGUAUAAAUUUAUAACUGCUUUUGAGCAGCUACUACUAUGUAGAAUUAGAAGGCAGAAUACCAAAGGAAGUGGUUAUGAUGCAGGAGGGUGCCAGUGAGACUUCAGUUUUUGAAGAAAACUUCAUCAGGAGGUUGGGAUCCAUUGGAAAAAGGGGAAGUAAUUUAGGUAGAAAACCUGUUUGAGGAAGAAGCUUUUUUUGCUGAACUGAUUUUGAAAAAGGAGGGGGGGAAAUGGAAUGAAUGAGGAGUCAACUACUCUUUAGGUGUUUAGUGAUGAAAUUGGAAGGUAACUGGAGAUAAAAUUAGUGAGGGGCAUUAAAGGUGACAAUAGAGAUAUUAUAAAAAUUCUUGUAGCAGAAGGGAGUAAAUGUGAUUCUUUCUCAGCUUGCAGGGUUGUAUGGAAACUGAGUCAUGGCCUGAACCACUGAUUGAGCACCUGGGGAAAAGACCUGGGCAGUCCUGGGAGCACAGGUGAAGGCAGUUCAUUUGUGUGACUGGAAGGGCUGGAGCCUGGCUGCGCCUCUCUUAGACCUCAUUUAAGGGCUGACUGCCACUGGAAAGGGAUCUCUUUCUGGAGAUCCCUCCUUGGUGAGGCUUUCCUCUGUGAACCUGGAAUCUUCUGAUAUGGUGCUGACUGAGAACUGUGCCUUCCUGCAAUGAUUCACUUGACUGUGUAAGUGACAGAUGUGACUGCAGUGGUAUAUCUAACAGCAUCUAAACACUUAAUGACACAGACCUGCUCUGCCCAACACUGGUAGGAAGCUCCCCACCACAAUACCAGUAAAUGUUUUUGUGCUGGUAGUACUGGAAGCAGUAACACAAACCAAGAUCAGAUGUUUUCCAGCACUUGACUUUAAAGACUGCUGAUACAUUGCCUGGACAGGCAGAUCACAUCUUGGAAACUGUUCUUCAUGCCUGUUAAGUAACAGAUUUGUAUGUUGAGGAAAUGGAUGAAGAUUCUGCAGAUGCUAAGCAACUUGUAUCUCAGGGGAUUAAAAUGACAGCCUGUUCCAUAAAUCCUUGAGGAUUAACAACACAUAUGUUCAAGCAUCAAAUCAUAGCAAAAGAAAAAGAGGAGCUUGUUUUUGUCUUGGAGCAUUAUCACAGCAGAUAGUAGAGACAUGGAAUGUAUGUAUAUUAAGUAAAGUUGGGAAAAUGUAUAAGAGUAGAAUAAAAUUUCACUGUUUUUACCUUCUUUUGUUAAUCAGGCCAUUGUAUUGUUGUAUAUUUAUACUAAAGAGUUCAAAUACUUGGAUUUUUAUUUCAGAAAGGGUUUGUGUUCUUGUCUGAGUUAAUGCUUGAGAACUAUAUUAUGGCAGUGUAUUGUACCAACAGCAGCUACGCUCCUGCUAAAUUUUAGGUGAUUACCUGUGUGAGCUAUUCCACUUAAAAAUAAUUAGAAAACAUUUCUCUUGAGUUGCAGCGCUGCAAAUAGAAAUCAGUUCACGUUAGUUUUGAAACAGUCUUGUCGUCAUAAAUUUCCUUUUAUGAUCUUGUCUUCAUCUAGUUCACUGUAUACCCCAAAGGUUAUUUUCUUUUCAACCCUUAACGGUUAACAUACCAUAGAAAAAAUAUGCAGGUAUUUGAGAGGGAUGGGAUAUUGUAUUGGAACUGUUAAACUGAAUUCAGCUGCUGACUUACAAGUGUCAGCAUUUUCUGAGUUUUGUAAAGAAGUGAACCAUACUGGGUGGAUGCCAAAAAGUACUCCUUUAUGUUCUCAUCAGUGGUGUACACGGAUGAAACUCUUCAGCUGUAAGAAUAGUUGUUUCAUUUUUAAUUUAGCUAAACCUCUGGGGAUUUGAAUUUUGGGCAAAACCUUGGUGUGGUGAUUUAUUUACUGGUUUGGCUGUUUGGGGUGUUGAGAAAUUCUUGUUCUCUCCAUUUUGAGUAUCAAUACUGAAGUACUUUGUCAAGAUCCUUGCACUUUGACUAUUUCUAUCUGAGAUUCAAAGCACUUCUAAAUGAUCAAGAUUAUAUCUAGACUGUGAGAGAAAUGUAUUCAUGGAACACCAACAUCCUGUUUUAUUGACUGUCCCAGUUGUGCAUCUCCCUGUUUUGACAUUCAAAACAUAGUGAUUAUUAUUACAGACAUGGUUCGCUUAUAAUGUAUGGUGAAAUAGAUCAUUAGAGUAAAUUAUAUAUUCUUCACUGUAUGUGGUCAGACAUCACUGUACCAGAGGGCUUUACAGGGUUACUGUCCCUUUUCUGCCUGUGCUGUGUUGCUGUACUGCUCCUUCUGCAAGCAGCUUCGUUAUUCCUGCUUGUGGAAACAACACUGUAUCAUCAAAAUCACUUUGUGAAACUAUCUACAUAUUUCUUAUGGAAAGUAUUGAAAAUCUCCAAGAACCAACUAAAGGCAUAAUGAAGGUUGGUAGAUUGCUGAAACUCAGUCUGAUUCUGUGAUGUAAGAUACAAUAUAGGUACAUAAACUUUGGUGAUGAAUAACUAAAUCUUUUCUUUCUUUACUUCUAGUUAGCAUGUAGGUCCUUUUUUCUGUCUAUAAUCUACUUAGCAUGACACUUUCCUUGCUGCACAAGCAUUUUUUUAAUUAUAAAGAUAUUAUUCCAAUUAAAUAUUACACAUCCCUUCAGUGAUUACUUCUUCCAGGUGGAAGAAUCAUUAAUGACAGCAUUACUAGGUGUGUAAGUUUUAGUAAUCAGGCUGGAAAUGCUUUUAUUGGGGGCUUGGUCCUGUGAAGUGUUGUAUACCUUGGAUUGCCAAGGACUCCAGAAGCAACAUGAGCACCUAAAAUGAAUGCUUUGUAGUUUUUAGACCUGGACUUUGCUUCCCUUCAUAAAUUAAUUGGCUUAGGGAUAGGUGAUAGCAUUGCAAGUCUCACACAUAGAGUGUGGCUAGAAUCCGGGGACUGUGUUGACUGGUAGUCCAUUUCAACAUGACAGAAACUUUGCUCUGCCAUAUAUCUCACACACUGAAACAACAAAAAAUAUUUUUCCAUUCACUUGUAUGAGUUUAGCAUCCAUAUGCCCACAGCCAAAGAAAUAUUUCUCCCUAAAACUAGUUUGUUUGUGUCAGAAUCUUUCGUAAGUGGACUCUGUUUUUGAGGACUCUAGUGUUUAACCACUCUGAUGCAACCAAAUCAUUACCUAAAUGUGAGCUUUCAUGGAGUCAUAUCCAUAUACACCAUAUAAAUGCUCUGACACAAACAAUUUUACUAAUUACCAUUCUUUCUAUAACCUUUCUGAAUCAAAAACUGUUUAGGCCAAUAUUUGGAGAAAGCUAUUUCCUGCAAAUAAUUUAUCUUUCUGAAAAUGUAUUAUUUCUUAUUUUUAAUUUGUGAAACAGAGACAGAAACUCUCCACUACAUAGACUUCUGAGUACCUUUCUGGCUCUCAAACCUAUAAGAAUGCUCUGCUGCAAUUACAGGAGUGGAUAUUCCUUUUUGUCUUCCUGUACAUCAGCACGUUGACAUUUCAUCGGUGACAUGCAUUUUCCGUGUGACUUUAUCUAAUUAUUAAAAUCUGCCUGCUUAUGACUAUUUCAGAGUUAUCUCCUCUCAGAACUAUUAUCAUGCCUUAAAAUGCUUGCAACUGUGAAAACUCAUAGCCAGAUGUUUCCUAAUGAACAGUGUGUGCUAUGGUCAGUUACACGUGAACUGCAUAAAUACGAACUUUCAAAACAAUAUGUGUUUUGUACUCGAGUUGCUCCAUGCUAGUGACUGUCCCCACCAAAAGCAGUUUCCUGGCAGAAGAUAAGGGUACAGAAGCUGUUAGAGCACAAAACCCAGCCCUCUUUCUGGGGUGUUUUUAUAUAUGUUUUUUUGCACACCACCCAAAAGUGCUCUGGGAAAUCAUAAAGAUGCAGAAAAGGAUCCUUGCACACAUUACGUAUGGAAUAUCAGUGCAAUUGUGGUGCCAUGAAUUCUGUAUGCCAGGUUUCAAUUUUGGGACUGAAUGAAGUCACUUGUCUAGAAGUCAGGCAAAUUUAUCAGGACAGAAAGAUACUUUUCUAGGACAGUGCUUUCUUGGUGGAGUAAAAUUGACUUUUGGAGGGACUGCAUAUAUUCAGGUACCGUUUGAUUAAUUAGAAACAUUUUUAUUCAGCAUCUCAACUAUCUAUUUCUGAAAAACUGAAGCAACCACGAGUGGCAAUUUCCAUCUAAGAGAUAUAUUUUGUUAGGCAGUUUGCAUUUUUGUGCUUUUUAGGUAUGCAUAAAUAUAUUACUAUUAAAGAAAAAGAACUUAAGAAUCCAUUUUGGCCAUCGUUAUUUAUGAUUUUGGUUUUUAUGAUUGUCUUAGCUUCUGUACUUAUCACAGAAGAAUAACAGUGUCAGUGUAAUACAGGCGAUGCUUCACUGAUGAUCAGUAUUUUUCUGUUAAUCAUUGAUUACCUUUUCUUAUAGGAAAAAGGAGAAAGCAUAUGCAGUGUUGGUACUGUGAUGUUGAAAAAAGUUACAAAAUGCUGUCUCAAGGCAUUCCAUUACAUGUACCAGAGUAUUAUGUACUUCUUUGGGUUCUUCCUAGAAUAUGGAGGCUCUGGAUUCUUUCUUUGCAUUAGAAAUGAAAGUCCUCUCUAUUCUGGGCAGAAUGUAACAAGGAAAACAUUAGAAAAGCAAUCAUUAUACUUCCAAACAUAUUAAGUAUGUAUGUAUUUGGAUAAAUAUAAUUCACUUUUGUAUUUUAUUACUUGCUUUCUAGUACAAAGAAGGCAAGGAAACUCAUGAAAAUGCAGACCAAAGAAGUAGCACAUGAGUGUGUCUGCAUGCACUGAUUUAUAUACUAACUUCAUUACACAGUGAUACAAAACAUCUAGACAGCAAUGUUUCCCUGCUUUGAUAUACUGUGCAUAGAAAAAUUUAGCUUUGUAUUAGAGAUCUUUUAUUCACUGCCAUCUGAAUCUUUUGCUUCCCUCAUUGUUCUGCUCAUCUCUAUUUAAAAUACUGUUCUGAUUCUGAUCUUAGAGCACUAUAAACCCCCACAUAAGUCUAACAACUUCAAAGAAGUUUCUUCUUUACAUAGUUAUAACUAAGAUAUGAAUCUGGCCUGUAGGCACAUUCAUUUUAUAGCAAGUUAAAACAUGUACCCUAACUAUUAGCAAGUCCUUAAGGUUAACAGACAUACACGUGCAGUUAGAAUAGAAUAGCAGCUACAGUGCUUUUUUUUUUCUUCAUCCAGAGCUAUUUUUGGUUCCUUUCCCUUUGACACACAUUCCUGGUAACAGUUAAAAGCAGGUCUUUUAGUACAGAAUUAAUGCUGAUAACUGAGCGCUUUAUCAAGUACGUUUCCUGCUUGGAUGCUAGUUGUUUUAUGUAGAGUAGAAAUGUGAGGUCUGAUUCCCAUUUUACUUGCAGUGAUAUAAAUCAUCAGAGAUGGGGUGCAAGAUUCUGCGCAGGAAAAUGAUUCUGUGGAUCCAUUCAUAUUUGUUGCUUGACUAUCAAAAUAAUGCGACAGAGAAACAGGGACUGCUCAUACCUUUGUGGACUCAGAAUGAUCCCUGUCCCUUUUUGUGUAAAGUCUGCUUCUAGGAAAAAGCUUCGCACAAGGUUGUUCACGGCUUUCCUCUCCUAAAAGACUGAAAGCUGAUGCUGCAGCACAUUGCAAUGACAGUGACAAUUGUAGCAGAGAGCACUGAUGGAGUUUGCCUUGACCUAGGUGGGGAAGGUAAGACCUACUGAACAAUGUCUGCUACCAUUGUCUGUGUGGACCGUCAUGUUGGAGUUGGAGGUCCUAUUUCUGUGUUGACAAGGCUGUAGCCCUUGCGGGUUGACAUGUACUUGGUAUCUGUGCUUUGUCUGUGGGCAGAACAUACCCCUAAGGUGAGAGGAGAUCUGGAUGACCUUGUCUUUCACAAACUGCUGUGGUGAGCCUUCAUCCCUAAGGGCUCAAUUUAUGUAAACUACCAAGUGCCUCUGAGUCUAAUUGAUUUCCUCUAGCAACUCCAAAAAGAUGUAAUAACAAUUUUUGGGGGUCAAUUUUGGGAUCCCUCUUCACACACGAACUGCAGUAUCCAGUAAAAUUUCCUGAGAUGCAUAUAAGCUAACUCCCCAGGUGUGAAUUUCUGGGUGCAGGUAACAGAAGGUUCUUAGUGGAAAGUCCCCGGGAUAUUGACUCAUUUCCUCUUUUUUCCAUUAGGGUCCAGAUUUUCUGACUUUCAGUGUGCAUAGCCAGGAAUACUUAUUUAAUUUAACAUUCCUGUGCCUGGGCAAAAUGCCAGGAGGAAAAGAAUUUGUUUUAUCAGUGGGAGGGGUUGGCAGAUGGUGGCACGGCUUUGGGCAUUUGCCAGUGGUUGACAAUAUCAUUUGUUUAUUUUUCUUUAACUGUGCACUCUGCCUACACAUGGGAUUAUGAUAAUGGGGGCAAAUAUAAAUGAAUAGUGAUGAAGGAGAUCAGCUUCUAAGAUCCCCAUUAGGAUGGAAGGGUGUUAAACUUACAGCCUACAGACAUCUGCCUUGACUCCAUGCAGCCUAUUAACCGCAUGCACACACAUUUUUUUAAAGUAUCAAACUCCUGCCCAGGAAGAGUUUCCCUUCAAGGCUAGUAUGAAGUAUUUAAGUUUAUAUCAGUGGGAUUUAAGCACAUGCUUGUUUCCUGAAGUAGGACUUUGCUAAGUUUCAUUCUUUUCAACUAAGUCUCUGGACUGCUGUGUAUUCUUCAGAGAGAAAAUGCAGCCAGAAAGUCAGGAUUUCCACUGAGAUGAUCUCCUUAAUCCAGUCACUGGAUUUCCAAGCAGGCUACAGUUGCAUUUGAAAAUGGCCAAAAAUAAAGGAAAAAGGUGUUAUUUUCAUAACGUAUGGUGGAAUAAAUGCUAUAAGUACGGUCACCAGUGAAUGAAAAACACUUGAUGUUAUUCAAGUUAUGUUUUGCCAAACAUAUACUUCUAAGUAAGAGUAAAGGUAUAGUAAGUAAAGAAUUUAAUAAAGAGCUUGUUCAUUUAAUAAGAACUAGACUAGUUAUAUACACAGUUCAAUAUGCAAAGGAAAAUCUCAUGUGGUAUGAGUAAAGAUCACGCAGUUGGGCUUUUAAGUCAUCAACUAGAUAUGGCAUCUAAAUCACAUACUUUAAGUAAAGAGAGGCCAGUUAUUUCUCCUGCUAUGACAUUGUUUGAAAUUGUUCCAGAGCUUGCAAGCUUAUGACACUCCAGGAAAUCAGCACACAUUAUAGUAGCACUUCACAGCUCAAUGUUGCCCAGAAUAUGGACUUGGGUCAAAACAGUCUCAUGCAGUGGUAGAGGUUUGGGGAAUGGUGGCUGGAAAGUUGCCUGACAGAAAAGGCCCUGGGGCUGCUGGCCAACAGCUGGCUGAACAUGAGCCAGCAGUGUGCCCAGGUGUGAAAGAAGGCCAACAGCAUCCAGCAUCUUGGCUUAUAUCGGAAACAGUGUGACCAGCAGGACUAGGGAAGAGAUCAUUCCUCUGUACUUGGCACUGGUGAGACCGCACUGUGAGUAUUGUGCUCAGUUUCGGGCCCCUCACUACAGAAGGGAUAUUGAGUUGCUGGAAUGCAUUAAGACAAAAGCAGUGAAGCUGGUAAAGAGCUAGUAAGCAAGAAUUAUGAGGAGUGGUUGAAAGAGCUGGGACUGUUUAAUCUGGAGGAGGCUGAAGGGAGGCCACACAGUUCUCUACAACUACUUGAAAGGAGGUUAUAGCAAGGUGGUCUCUUUCUUUAGGUGACAAAUGAUGGGACAUGAGACAAUGGCUUCGAGUUGAACCAGGGAAGGAUAGAUUAGAUAGUAAGAAGUUAUUCACGUAGAGAGUGGUCAAACAUUGGAAUGAGCUGGCCGGAGGAAUGGUUAUAUUUAAGAAAUGUGUGGAUAUGGAACUAAGAGACAUGGUUUAGGGGUGGACUUGUUAGCAUUCGGUGAUGGUUGGACUUGAUGAUCUUAAAGGUCUUUUCCAAUCUAAGUUCUUCUAUGACUCUUAUAUGGUGCAGCAGCCUCCUGGGAAAAAAAAAAAUCGUUGCUACUAGUGUUCAUUAAAAUGUCAUCAAUGCUUUCAUCUGAAAUACAGCUCCAUAAGUUAGCCACUUGCAUGUACUUUUUCCACUGUGCUUUCUUGUGUAAAGUUGAUUAUUAGAAAAGUUUGCAAAGAAUAAGCUUCACCCUAGCUUUUAAUAUGCAGAGACUCCUUUGUUUUUCUUUUGUAUGUGACAGGCAGUGCUUCAGUUUCAGAAACUUUAGGUGGAUUUCUUUUGAGCACAUGCUCAGAUCAUAAUUCCUAUAAUAAUCUAGCUGACGCACACAGUACAGUAUGCAGCUAGCAGUGUCUUGUGCAGCUAAACCUUGUGUUUCCUUCAUGGUGGUCAAUAUUCUAGAUUUAAGGGCCAAGUAUUCUGGUUGGAUUACACCUGUUGUUACAAAUUAUGUUCAAGUAAAUCAUGUGAUGCUCCAUCAUACAGUCAGGUGAUCGUUGUUCUGCAUCACUGGAGAUGUUAUACAACCACAGUGGCAGCCCAGCACUAAGAGAGCAGGGUACUUGUUCUGGAGUUCCAAAGAGGCAAUUGGCCAUCAGAAAGAAAAACAACUUAGUUAGAUGACUUCACACUAAACAUCUUGAGUCAAUUCAACAACUGAAAAUACUCUUUAUUCCAGAAAAAGGAUCUUAUAUAUAAUUUUCCCAUGAAAAACCACAGUUUUAUGGGAAAUGCAUUUGCCUUUGGUAUGUUGCUACAGUGAGUUGUCCUUGAUCACUUCUAAUCAUUUAAACAUUUUAGCUACGUGUGGUAUUAUUAUUUACUCUGACAUACAAACAAUACAGUACUGUGUCCUUUGCUCUGCUUUUUACCUGUGCUGGUCUCCUUUCCUUUUCUCUACGUCCAUUAGUUUGCAUUGGCCCUAAAAUGUUGACUAGACAAACAGAUCAUCUAACCUCACCCAGCCAGUCAUAUUUCAGCUAAUUACCUUGUGUGGUCCCAACCCCCAAGCAAUUUUCAUGUAAACAAGUUUCAGGAAUUGUAGAUAAUUCCCUUGCUGCUCUCAAGUUCAGACAGGUGUUUUCUUUGUUUUUGCGAAGGUUCUAUUCUGUGUCAUUAGUCUUUGUAAGUCAUUAUUUUUUGUUUUAACUGCUUUGAUCUAUUCACUAACUUCAAACUGGCCUUUCUAAGUAAAAGUUGACUCCUUUAUGUUUUCAUUGAUUGAUUUUUGUGUUAUAAUAAUGUUUGUAAACACAGCUUAGUUUCAUUCAGUUUUUCAUCUGUGCUCAAAUAAAUGAGAUUUCUACCACAGAUAAGACCCACAAAUCUUUCUUUCCCACUAGGAAAAGUACAGAUAAUCCUAUGGCAACAGCUGUCAGGUAAAAGCCCAGCCUAAAUCUCACUGAGGAUGCAUGUACUCCAGGGUGAGCUGGUCUGCAGCAGGCUCAGCUUCUGCAGGUUACAUUAUAGAGAAGAUUCAAAUGUUUCAGAAGAAUGAGAAAGGUGUCCAUUCCAAAUGCCAGCUUCCUCCCUGUGUGAGGGAGAGAAGUGAGUUCAGGUGAAGCAAAAUGUAGCCCCUGAAAUCUUCAUUCUUACUCUUACCUCCAACUUUUACCUUUCCAACCUUUCGUUUUCAGCUGUAGCUAGUCUUGGCUCAACUUUGGAAUUAGUACUUGUUUAUGGUAUCAGUGUGUACAAGCAUUCCUCAGUAUUCUCCAGCAGAAGCAGUUGGUCAUGAUCCUGACUUUUUAUAAGUAGUUCAAAGACUUCCACAAUCCUAGAGGAGAAGCAGGGUCUCUUGGUAUACAUAUCUUAUGAAGAAGAGUAAGCAAAUAUGCCGUCUAAAAAUGAUUUUAAAGGUCACAGCAAGUAACAGUAAAGUGCAGUAGUAUGUUGUGGUUACCAGUGAACUCUUCUCUCCUUACAUACUGAAAACUAAGGUGACAUGUUAGACUACUUCUAAAUUGAUUGGAUUUUGGGGUUUGAUUUGUCUAAAAUCCCUUUAAAAGAACUUUAAAAAAAAAAAAAAAGCUUCCAAAGGGAAGUUGUCAAACUAAAAUAUUUCUGAAUUUUAUUGCAUAUGGUGAGAAGCAUAGAGAAAAGAUACAAAAUCGCUGAGGGAAAUAAUGGUACUUAUCUAAAGCCUUUCAUCUCUGUAACUGGUCUGCACUGGUGUUCAUGAAGCUAUAUUAAUGUCAUUGUGAUCCUUGAAAUGAGCUAGGUGUUUUCUUCUGUUCAUAACAUGUAUUUUUUUAUUAUUAUUAUUUCCUAAGGAACGUUCUGUUAGAAGAAUAUCAUAAUAUAAUAUCAUAACUGAUAUUAGUAACACCUUCAUCAGUCACCAGUGGAAAAUCCAUGAAAUCCUUAACACAAAUUCUGUUGGUUUCAGGCAGGAGAACAGCACAGAUGCUGUAAGUUUCCAGGACCCAGCUGUCAAAUAGUGUGUGUAGAAAGCUAUGAUUUAGAAUUUCCUCUCUAAGGCUUCCCAGCAGUGAGCCUAAAUGCAGAAUGUGGGUUAGGGAGCCCACAUUCUCCCUGGGGAGAUGAAACAAACAUGCCCAGGAGCCAGAAAAGAAUCUUAUUUCUGUUCUCAUCUUAUUUACAGCCUGCUUUCAAACCAGCUGAGAUUUCCAUACUGUGAAACUUGGAUUCAGAUAAAAAUGACUUUGUGCUACUCUGAUCCUAAUUUUACUUCCAAGCUGUAGGGUUUUGUCCACCUCAGGGAAUAAUGCAAAAUAGAUGCAGGAUGAUUGUGGAAGAGUAUUUUUGCAACACUGUUGCCUUCAUGGUUGGAGAUUCUUGGUUUACUCAGUCGGCAAAUCAUUCGCGGCCUUCAUUGGAAUUUCUGCCUCUUAGAGCAAAGAUAAAUAAAUGAAAAAAUAUAUGUUUCCAAGAAACGGAAGUUGCAUAAACACGAUUUGACUUGACAAUAAAAUAGUGCUGACCUGACAGCGCCAUCAGGGCCUGAUGGACUAAAGCUUUAAUUCUCAAGAUCACAAGGCAGACCAGUGCAUAUAUUUCCAUCGCUGUCUUCAGCUUAGUUUCUAUGUGGAGGCAUUUACCUUGUCUUCUACUUCUAUCUCAGUGCUUUAUAGAGAAUGUUGGAGUAUGCUCUUACAUCCUUGCUGUGGAGUGUAGAGAGACAUUUUCCAAGUAAGCAUAAUAACUGCCUUCUCAAGGCAUAAUGCAGUGUACUGCCAGCACUGUCAGUAUAGGGGGAGUAGCUGUAGUGUUCCUACUGCUGUGAUGGUUGACAGAUAUGAGAAAGCACUCUUACUUUUCUGUGUCUUCUACCUACAUCACACAAAUGAACCAUUUCCCUCAACUUCUGUUUGUUAGUAAACUUAGAGAAAACACUGACAUAAAUUCAUUCAUGGUUAGGAUUUAAGUUAAUUCUCUUUCCUAGACUUCUGAACCAAUUAGGAUUUAGCUAACUGUUUAUUUUCCCCUCAACUUGCAGAUCUGGAAGCAGAGUAGAAGCAGACCCAGUUCAGUGUAAUCUGUAAUAUUACUUCCUUCCAUUUUCUCUCUUUUCCUGUGAAAUCUAGUUCCCCAGGGCCCACAAAUCUGGGACAAAUUGGCUGUUGAUAUUUUCCAAUUGUUUGUUGAUGGAAAAGGGUGUAAACUGAUCCAUGUAACUUGGAAAGUUUUAAAAUAUCUCUCCUAUGACAUACAAAGCCAUGCUUUGUCUUCAUGAAAUUAGAUUGUUCUCAUAAAGGCUUAACAAUACAGAGAAGUGUUAAAAAAAUGUGUUUUAUUAAUAUCAUAGUGUAGUAAUGUAAGGUCAUAGCAGCUGAGAAUUGCUUGAAUUUACUCCAGAUGUUGCUUAAAAAGCCCUGAUUUUUGACAGAUGUUUGAGAAUAAAAUAUAGAGCAUGGCGACAAAGGACUUUUGUAAAUGUUACUCUAUGUUACAAACUUCUCAUCGAGGUGCUAAGGCUCACUGAAGUUAUUUGGUGCAAUAGAGGAAAGUUUGUGCCCCUACUAAGGGAAGUGAGUUCAUCUGUAAUACCAGCUGCCAGAAAAUGCCACAUGGGAGAGAGAUGACAGCAAUCUGGAAAAUCACUCUGAUCAGACACUGUACUUUAAGAAGGAAAUAAAUUGCACUGUAUACAGAGCUGUAAGUAUCUGACCUUUGUGACCUUCACUGCCAACUGGUCUCUAAUUUAAAUGAACUGUGCUGCAAACGUCAUUGUUGAAAUAUUAUUUUGAUAAAAACAGAGCAAAAGGAGAUGGUUUAGAUUUAAGUUUGAAACAGGAGAAUUACAUAGUUUGCUAGAAAUCCAGAACUCUUUUUUUAUUCCUUUUGCUCUUCUUUUUUUUUUUAAUUGCAUGAAACCUGUAGAGCACCUUGCACCUGGCACUCCUGGAAUUAACGCUAUUAAAAUCUUUGCUUGUGCUUCUGACAAACAACUACUCUUCAUGCUGUACCCAAAGUCUCCAUUAAGAUUUACAACAACUGAAUUUAAAAUAGGAUUGUCUCUGCACUGAGGAAAACCAUUUGCAAAUAGCAUUUUAGUUUUCUUUCUCAACUAUUACUUUAAAAUUCUCAUUUAUGAAGCUGUUGGCAGGAGACAAAGUCUUAAGCUAAGUGCACAAUAGCAGUACAAACUUUGCUACUUGAGAAGUUCAAGGAGGUUAAGUUCUACUUGGUGAUGACUUUCCCCGCAAAUCUCAUUCUCAUGUUUUGAAUUUUCAGACUCUUCUCACUGUGUGGUCAAUGGAGCUGAAAGACAUGUUCUAGGUGAACGUGUCCUUACAUCUAAAUGUGUGUUUGAGUUUAUAUUCAACUACUGACUAUACAAGUCUAAUGUAUACCUUGUGCUGAAUCAGCCCGUUCCCUCCCCACCAGAUGUCCUGCACCCUUCUCUUGGAGAUAUUUUCUCUGCUUCCCAGUUACCAUGUAGCCCAAGUGUUUGUGCCUGGGUUGUUCCUGUGUACGUAAUAAAGACAGCUUCAGUUAGAGUUGAGAGGCAUUUCAGUGUCCUAAUUUAAACCAUCCUCACUAUGGUUGUCAGAGGAGGUGGCCACUCUUGUGAAAUAAAGACAAUUUCUCUUCCUCAGUUUCCUGUAGAAAGGAAGGACUGUGCUUGGAUGAGGUAAGCUGGAGCCUGAAACUUUCUGUUUGCUGACAGAAUGGAUAAGAAGUCAGAUGCAAUGUGAACUUCACGAAGGUCCGUCACAAACAAAGGCAGAUCAGUUAGAUUGUGAUUCAGAAAUGUGUUUAUGUAUGUCCUCUGCUUUGGACACUUGUCUGAUUCAAGUUUAAUUCUGAAACCUACCUGCGUUCUUAAAGCCAGGAGUAAUCUGGUGUGAGUGAAUCAGGGGAAUGGCUGUUUGUCCUGGUUUCAGUUGGGAGAGUUAAUUUUCUUCCUUGAGGCUGGUAUGGUGCUGUGUUUUGGAUUUAGGAUGAGAAUAAUGUUGAUAUCAAACCAACGUUUUGGCUGUUGCAGAACAGUGCUGCACAGAUCCAAGGAUGUUUCAGUUUCUCAGAGCUGGGGGUGCGCAAGAAGCUGAGAGGGACAGAGCCAGGACAGCUGACCCAGACUGAACAAAGAGAGAUCCCCUACCUUAUAAUGUCAUUGAACAGUAAAACGGGGAGUUGGCCAUGGGGUUGCCACUGACUGGGGACUGGCUGGGCAUCAGUUGGCAGGAGGUGAGCAAUUGCAUUGUGCAUCACUUGUUCUGUAUACUCUUCUUGUUAUCUUUUUUUCCUUUCCUAUUUUUUCUUAUUAAACUGUCCUUAUCCUCAACCCACAGGUUCUCAUGCUUCUACCUUUCUGAUACUCUCCCCUCAUCCCACUAGGAGGGAGAAGAGGGCAAAAGGUUGUGUGGUUCUGAGCUGGUUUAAACCACAGAAGUCCUUUUUGCACUGAGUGUGAGGUGUGAAAGACUGAGAUAAUAGCAGAUCUGACCAUAGUAUGUUAAAACAAAUUUGUUGUAAAAAUUAUGUUAGUUUAAUAUUUGCCGGUCACAUUGUUGAUUUAUUUUUUUCACAGUGUUGAUAUAUUUGUUGAUAUAGUUUCUGAUUUUCUUGAAUCUUUUCUUGUUGUUUAUCAUCUCCAGGGACUGGCCUAAGUUUGUUUACAAUUUUGCCAGUUUGUAUGUAGCAUGUGCUCAUAUUAGACUGACCAGGAACUUAAUCUGUUAUUUUCACUCACUUAAGGCUAUCAUUCUUGCACUUCAGGAGCCUUACAGUGAGAAUUAUUAAAAAAUACAGUGUUUACUCCAGGCACAUUAAAAUAGUUUUCAAAAAUUUUUGAAUACUCUUGGGAUAUUCACACUAGUGUGGUCCUGUUGCUAUGUCUUGUGCCACGUGCUUCAAUUUUUAUCUGUUGUUAAGCAGCUAUUUAAGAAUGCUACCCUGAGAUCUUCACUGAAACAGGAUGGUUAUGGGUGGCAAGGUGUGUAGGAGAAUAUAGGCAGGUAUUUAUCAGAGUUGUCAUCUUUGAUGGUUUUGGGAUUCAACUCUCAACAAGUAGAGAAUUCUAAAAAAAAAAGGUAUGCCCUCAUUCUGGCAAUGCCAGUGAUUUACAGCCCACUGCACUGUGCUGGAGUCUGGCUUGGACCUAUCAAGCAUUAUUCAACACUAUUCAGCACCUCCAAAAGGAAGAAAACAACCCUGGAUCUGACCCAACCUCUGCAACAGGCCCAGCUGCUGAACCAGAAAACCAACUCAUGCUGACAUCAUAUAUCCCUAUAUUCAAGAAGAAACAAGGGAACUGAAAGAUAAUUUGUUAAGGAAGACAAGAAACUUCUAAGUAGAAAGGGAAGGAAGAAAACAUGGACAAGGCAGGCUGUGCUGAAGAAAGGCCAUACAAGAAAGGGAGGAAGAAGCAGUAAAUGUGGCAGUAUUCACCCAAUCCCUAUCUCUGUGUGAGCUGAAACAUAUGCAAAAAGAUUCAGCCCUCCUCCAGGUGUGCACAUUGUCACCUGGCUGCUUUGAUGCUUGGAUAAUGGGGCUGAUAGCCUGGAAUUAGAGGGCAUGGAAGUGAAAGAUCUGGGAUCCCUCUCUAUGGAAAUGAGCAUUGACAAAGCAAUUAUAAAAAGAGGCACAACCCCUCAGACUCUUGAGGUGACUCUUGUUAUCUGUGAAAAAGGAUAUCCCUACAAGGAAGAUGUUCUAUGUAAACCAGACAACCAUGGAGAAAGAUAUCCGGUACCUGAGGGAAUUAGGCACUCUGGAGGUGAUGUGUUAUGACCUGGACAGUGAGCAUUUAUCACAAGAUCCAGAUAGUGUCAAAAGCAUUUGAUGCAUGUGGAAUAAAUUUGUAUAGAGGACAGUGUCGUCCUGUGCCAUCACACUGUCUGUAAUGAUCUGGAAAAAGAGAGAGGAACUGACAGCGCAUGAAUUGGCUAGCCAACUCCAUCAGUAUGAAGAAAGUCUCUCUCUUCCUCCUUAUGGGCCUGCAUCUCGACUGCUGAGAAACUGGUUCAGGAACUCAAAGAGAGAGAAUGUCUUUUCUCCCAUCUGUACAGAGCAGAAUCUCAGCUACUAGGAGUAAACAUUCUUCUCAAGAGAGCUGCAACCAGAUGAGGUGAACACUACCUCAUAUCUGCUAUUGAUCUGUGGAUGACUUUAGGCAAAUCGGGCAAUGUUUAUGACUUUCUUUACUCUCUGAGACUCUUUUAGUCAACUGCGAAUUUCCUGGAGCUCCUUGGAUGAAAGUCUAUGUAAGUACAAAAUGAAAUAUUGUAUUGUGAUAUAAUUCAGUGAGAGGAAAAUAGUUCUUCUGCUUAACUUUUUGUGAUAUAUUAAACCUUUUUCUUUUUGAAAUUUGAAUUUUAUUAAAGUCAGUGAGAUCUCAAAGUACUUUUUGUAAUUUGAUCUUUGAAACAUCUUUUAAUAACAGAAAUAACAUUCUGCUUCUGCUAUAAAAGGAUUGUUUUCAACCCCUGUUUAAAUGAAUCCUGUGAUGUACCAUGUCAGACAGUCAGGUGAUGGCUGUUUUUCGUCACUGAAGAUGCUGUAUAACCACAGUGCUGCUCAUGAUUUUAACACCAUGAUACAAGGGAUGAACAAGCAUCUUUUUCUUGAUCUAAAACACAUGACAUAGUGUGGUACAGAGGUUCAUUUCAACUUCUUGCAUGACACUUUUGAACCUGUUUCCACAUAUUUAUUGGCAGCAUUGAUUUUGACCUCUGCUUGUACUGCCAAAGCAUUUUAGGACAAAAACAGUGAGCGAAAAUGUUAACUUUUCACUUGAACUUAGAUCACAUUCUAUUUUACAUCAAGUGACAGGGUUAAAUAAACUUCAUAGUGUUACUGAGCUCAGUGUGACAAAAUGACAUUUGAGAUAAAACUGAAUACUGAUAAAAUCAUGAGAAGUAUCUCAUUUGUACUGUCUGAUUUAUGAAAGAGUAAAUUCUUUUGAUUUUUCUCUUUUCUUCCUCUUUGGAAUAGUAUUUCUCACACAUUUCCAGAAAUGUAGAAUGUAAUCCAAAUGGCCCUCUUUUUCACUAUUUAUACAUAUGUCUUACAUAUAUGAGUGGGGUCUACCUGGGGACUAACUUUGACAUUAUCACAUUCCUGAAGAAGAGUGGCUACUGGGAGACACAGAAGUGUCAGAUGCCAAGGAGUGAGCAUUGCAUGCUAACAGCCCCAGCAUCAUACUGUGUAUUAUUAUGUAUUAUAACUUGCCUCUGCAGUAUAUAUGUUUUUGUUUACCCCCUUAGCCUUUCUCCUUUUCAACAUGUUGUGCCUUCCAGCACCUUUGUCCUUGAGUUCCUCCAUCCCUCUCUCUCUCUCUCUCUCUUCCUGGCAGUCAGACCACCCUACUGCAGCUUUGGCCAUCCCUCUAACCUUCAAUUUCUGUCCUGAAAUACAUGAAUGCUGAAAGGCCAUUAUCAUCUCCAGUGUACUGCAAAUGAAAACAAAACAAUCAUGCCACCUUCUUUGGACAUCUCUGCCUGCAGGAAAAUAUGAUUCCUACACCACAAGGCUGGUCAGGUGCCUGCAGUUUGUUGGAUCUCUAAGUACAAUUAGAAGACAAACUCCUUGAAGCACAGCCUAACCCUAGGCUAUCACUUAUAUUAUAGCCUGAGUGUGCCAUCCGCACAAAGCUCAUAGCAGCAGGCAUAAUACUAGCCCACAAAAAUUAAGAACUGUUAUGUUGUUAAACUCUUUCCAAGGUGAAGGUUUCUAUAGUAAAGCGUGUAUGGAAUUCUGUGUCAUACUGAAGGAAGAGGAAUAAGUCAUGUUAAAGAGUUACUAAUGUGUAUGGAGAAAAUUAUUUAAAAAUAAAUAAAAUAAAUAAAUAAAAUUAUUUACAAAUAACUUUAUCCAGGUCCUCAAAUUUGGGCAUAGACAGAAUAUAUAUUGUCCCAAUAGAUUCAGUGGAACAUUUUGGCUGGGUCACAUUCUUUUUCUUUCCUACAGGUGUGUAAAUAAUCAGUUAUCUGAACAGUUUAAAAAGAUGAAUCCUUUUGAAGACUUCUGGAUAUGUUUACUGCAUCCAGACUAUGCAAGCACUGUCUGGUUAGAAAUGCUGUCGCUUGUAUAGACCUCCUUAAAAAGGUCUGCCAAGUCACCACAGAGGCCAUCAGGAAGACUGUGGUGAUUAUUGCCGUCUCCUAUUUCAUGCAAACUCUGUAGCACAGUCAAAACUGCAAAAGCAAUACAUCACUUUCAGAAUGAAACAGCAACAAUAAAAAAUCUCAACAGAUUUGGGAGCUUUUAAUAACAGUUCUUUUCCAGGUAUCAGAAAACUGAAGAGUUAAAUAGAGAGAAUAAAUAGACGUGAAUUUCAUAAAGAUACUAACCAAGAGUAGCGAAAGAUGGAUGUUUCCCAAAAGGUUCAGAGGGUUCAUUUAGUUCAGAUGAUAACUCAUAAUAACUUGGCUAUUUAUCCACAGCUAUCUUUUGAAGUGAGGAAUGUUUUAUCUAAUGCUAUUUGUAUUAAAAUCAGUGAGAGAUCAUUCGCUGAUCUUCUUUACAAAAACUUUUUGUGUGCCAGUACUAUGCCUGACUUCAGCAUUUGAAAAAGAGACGUACAUAGCAAAUGUCAUAGUCAAUACUCACAACUCUGACUAAAUAGUUACAGAUUUUAACAAGAAGUAAAACCACCACAUAAGAUCUGAGAUUACCAACAAACGUGGAUUAUUUUAUUUUACAAGGCCCAAUAAAGAUCACUGGUCUUUUGAAACAGUAGUUGCUUAAUAUUUUGACAAGGCUCUAUAUAAUUAGAAGCCAGAGAAGUAGCCAUAAACUGCUCAUAUGAUAUAUCAAAACUACCUGUAUAAGCACAGGGACGCUUAUGUUUUAGAGGAGAUGGGAAAAAUAAAUGUAGUGAGGUAGCAAAUGCUUUUUCUGUGUAGUGGAAGAAUCAUCUGAGACCUCAUUUUAUUUCUCUUGCAUUCAGCAGUUUAAUAUUUCAAGAAGGGGUCAUUCAAAGGUUCCAGUAUCCCGAAGACCUUCACUCAUUUGCUUAUUGGUAACAUUUCUGAAACAUUUUAAAAGGUUUAAAAAAAAUAUUCUCAGGAUGACAAAAAAGGAAUAAAAUCUCAUCUUUCUACUGUCAUAAAAAAACCCAAACAGAUAAAUACACAAAUGAAAUGCAAAAUCCCAGUAGUUCUACAAGGGCAUUUAUGUUUUCUUUUUAUGGCCUAGUUCAACUCUUGCACUAUUGGAGCUAGCUAUUGUAAAUGCCAUUCAUGUGAAAAACAUCAGAAAGAGCUGAGAAUGCACUACCUGUCUUUUAUUUCUGGGAUGUUUCCUGUUGAAAUGAAAUAAAUACUACAAGUAAAAUGCCCACUUGAGCCUUACCACUUUUGUAAACAUUCCUAAAUGACGUGCUAAGGAUUGUUUACACAAGCUGUGCCAGCUGCUUAAUGGUUAAAUACUUUACCUUUCUUCACACUGAAGCAGCAGGGAAGGAGGCAUAUAGGGGAGGAACAUGCAAUUAUGAGCAAUCUAAUUGAUCAUCCAAAGACCAUCUGGAAAAUCUGCCUGCCGAUGGACAAACUGCUGGUGGAGUGCGUUUAACACUUAACACCCAACACUAUGCUCUGUUCAAGCAAUUGACAGACUUAGGGGAAAACUAUCCGGCACCAGCUUGGCUUUCCCCACUGCUCAAACACAUGAACCUACCUUUUCAGAAUUGUUUCUUUACCUGAAGUAAGCUAAAUGUAC
ensembl:lncRNA